GAUUUCUGGUUUGAUAUGUCUGGCCCGCCACGGUUACGUGUGUGUGCGCCGGUACGUGUCGGCCAUCCUUCUGGAAAACGUGUCUACCCUUCACUGGGCCGGAUACGCGAUCCAGAUCUUUUACUUUGAAAAAAUUAGAGUGUUUAAAGCAGGCUUAUGCUGUGAAUACAUUAGCAUGGAAUAAUAAUCUAGGACUUUGGUUCUAUUUUGUUGGUUUCUAGGACUGAAGUAAUGAUUGAUAGGGAUAGUUGGGGGUGCUAGUAUUCCGCGGCCAGAGGUGAAAUUCUUGGAUUCGUGGAAGACUAACUACUGCGAAAGCAUU
rnacentral:rRNA from 1 species